AUUGAACGCUGGCGGCAGGCCUAACACAUGCAAGUCGAGCGGAUGAAGGGAGCUUGCAUCUGGAUUCAGCGGCGGACGGGUGAGUAAUGCCUAGGAAUCUGCCUGGUAGUGGGGGAUAACGUCCGGAAACGGGCGCUAAUACCGCAUACGUCCUGAGGGAGAAAGUGGGGGAUCUUCGGACCUCACGCUAUCAGAUGAGCCUAGGUCGGAUUAGCUAGUUGGUGGGGUAAAGGCCUACCAAGGCGACGAUCCGUAACUGGUCUGAGAGGAUGAUCAGUCACACUGGAACGGGGACCCGGUCCAGACUCCUACGGGAGGCAGCAGUGGGGAAUAUUGGACAAUGGGCGAAAGCCUGAUCCAGCCAUGCCGCGUGUGUGAAGAAGGUCUUCGGAUUGUAAAGCACUUUAAGUUGGGAGGAAGGGCAGUAAGUUAAUACCUUGCUGUUUUGACGUUACUAACAGAAUAAGCACCGGCUAACUUCGUG
rnacentral:rRNA from 1 species